UACGAAGGGUGCAAGCGUUAAUCGGAAUUACUGGGCGUAAAGGGGGCGUAGGCGGUUCGUUAAGUCUGUCGUGAAAUCCCCGGGCUCAACCUGGGAAUGGCGAUGGAUACUGGCGAGCUAGAGUGUGUCAGGGGAUGGUGGAAUUCCCGGUGUAGCGGUGAAAUGCGUAGAGAUCGGGAGGAACAUCAGUGGCGAAGGCGGCCAUCUGGGACAACACUGACGCUGAAGCACGAAAGCGUGGGGAGCAAACAGG
rnacentral:rRNA from 1 species